GGUGACGCACACGGCCGCAGGAGGCGGAGCGUGAGGGAGGGAGUCCCGGCUGGUGAACAGGUAGCGACGGGGAAGCUGCCUGCACUACUCCCGGGAAAGGUUUGAGCUCGGCUCCCGGCCAGAAGCGGACGGAGGGCGCGUUCACAUCGGGCAGCGUGUGGCACACGUCGUCUAAAGACUGCGGCGGCCUCGGCAACCUCGCACCACGCUACGGGCCGGGGGCGCGGAGCCAAGUAGCGUGUGCUGGACGGGAAGGGGCCGGGCUCUUCGUCCCCAGGUGGGCGCGGGGACCCUGGCGCCAAUGAGGCUACCGUGGACCGCACUCCUGCAGGUCGAGCAAGGUUCCAGGGAUGCCAUUGAAAAGUCCAAAGCUGUUCUGAUCCCUGGUCAGUGGUCUGUCUGUUCGUUCUCUCUGAAAGCGGUUGGGACCUUCCCCUUGGUGCUCUGAAAUGUCACCGCCAUGUGCCUCGAGGCCAGCCUCUGCUGUUGUACCGAGCACACCGUUCUCUUCAUCCUGGAGGCUCUUUCCUCCAGAGGCAGAGAAUCCCAAGCAGGCUCCUCGCUGUCAGGGGGCAGCCCGACUCUGGGCUCGAUCUCAGGAACCAUGAACCAUGAGUGGAAAUCAAGGGCCGGUCGCACAACUGAGCUUAACGACUGAGCCAGCCAGGCGCCAGUUUGGGGAACUUUAAAUAAAAAAAAUCCUUCUGUU